rnacentral:rRNA from 1 species
GAUGAACGCUGGCGGCGUGCUUAAUACAUGCAAGUCGAGCGAACGGACGAGAAGCUUGCUUCUCUGAUGUUAGCGGCGGACGGGUGAGUAACACGUGGAUAACCUACCUAUAAGACUGGGAUAACUUCGGGAAACCGUAGCUAAUACCGGAUAAUAUUUUGAACCGCAUGGUUCAAAAGUGAAAGACGGUCUUGCUGUCACUUAUAGAUGGAUCCGCGCUGCAUUAGCUAGUUGGUAAGGUAACGGCUUACCAAGGCAACGAUGCAUAGCCGACCUGAGAGGGUGAUCGGCCACACUGGAACUGAGACACGGUCCAGACUCCUACGGGAGGCAGCAGUAGGGAAUCUUCCGCAAUGGGCGAAAGCCUGACGGAGCAACGCCGCGUGAGUGAUGAAGGUCUUCGGAUCGUAAAACUCUGUUAUUAGGGAAGAACAUAUGUGUAAGUAACUGUGCACAUCUUGACGUUACCUAAUCAGAAAGCCACGGCUAACUACGUG